UACAGAGGCCCCAAGCGUUACUGAGAAUCACUGGGUUUAAAGGGUGCGUAGGUGGCGCGUUAAGUCCGUUGUGAAAGCCCUGGGCUCAACCCAGGAACUGCUUCGGAUACUGGCGCGCUUGAGGCUAGUAGGGGUCACUGGAACUGACGGUGGAGCGGUGAAAUGCGUAGAUAUCAGGAGGAACACCGAUGGCGAAGGCAGGUCUCUGGGCUGACACUGACGCUCAUGCACGAAAGCGUGGGGAGCAAACAGG
rnacentral:rRNA from 1 species